rnacentral:lncRNA from 1 species
GGCCAAGCUGGAGGGCAGCCAGGCGGCAGCAGAAGCCUCUCCUCCUCCUGGUCCCCAUGGUGGGGGCUGGUUGCCACCCUCCCCCUUCCCCUGGGGAUGCUGCUGGUAGUCACUAUGGGGAUAAAGCGAUUAUGUUUCCAGACCAUAGGGAGCCAACUCCACCUGCAGGCCUGAGGGCCCUAGCCCCACUGCCGCCUGGGCAUGUCAGGGAGAGGGAUCACAGCUUUGCUUCCCACUGAGUGUCCUGGCCCCAGACAGCCCAUGCCUAAUGUGGGGCCACCUCCCUUUCCUUCUAACAUGAGCUGCCUCUCCUGACCUCAGAUGGCCUUGAUGCCUGACUGCUGUGUCCUGCUGGAGGAAUGAGGGCUGUAGGAGCCUCAAGAACAAAGGCCAUCAGAGAGGCCGUUUGCUGGCAUGGAGCCCCCCAGGACUCAUCAACCAUGGUUGAGGUUGACUGAAAACAGAGCAAGAGAGGCCCCCGCCUGUCUCAGAUGAGACUGGUGUUUUUUGCAAAUGGAUUACUUAAAGGUGUCUUGAAGGGGUAUGAUACUGCGAUAUGCACCUUUCACUGCCUGGAAUCUUCCUGAGUUUUGUCUUGGUCGAGCUGCCUUCCAUGUACAGCCCCCUCUGAAGAUGUUGGAAAGGAGGAGAAGGAAGAGGAAAGCAGAGGGGAUCGCCCCGCAGAGGCCAGCCUGCAGCCUGGGCUCCAUGCACCUCUGGCUGCUAACGGGAUCCACCUCGGGUCAAGAAGACUGCCGUGCAGGUUACUUCAGGGAAGCUCUGUCCUGGUCAUCUCUGCCUGGCAUUUCCUGCAGGAUUUGGCAAGCCACCCGUAGGAGAAGCUCC